rnacentral:lncRNA from 1 species
AUGUUUGCAACCCUCGCUCGGCUACCUGCUUUGAGUCCCGGAUGUCUGCGGAGCUCUCUCAUUUCGCUCCACACGGACUCAGAGCGGAAGUCGCUCCUAGUCCGCGCCUUUGCUUUUCUCCACGCGGCAGGGGUCUGCACCGGGUGCCCCCCUUCCGGCCACGCGAGCCUCCUCGCCGCAGUGUCGUCCUCCAGAAGGGUGUUGACAGGGUCCCGGACUUCAACCUGUACCCGCCCCCUUCCCGCCCAGCUCUUCGGAGAUGCGCGGCUCGCGAGGGGUGAGAAAUGACCGUCUCCAUCAAUCGUCGCUUUUCCUGGAUCUCCUCAUAGACAGGUAGAUGCCUCUCCCCGACCUGGGUCAUCCAUUUAUCCACAUUCAAUGUGGAUGCAAUCCCCCCCCCUCCUCCUUCCCUCCCCCCUCCCUCCCUCCUUUCCUUCCUUUUUCCUGCUCUCCUUUCCUCUAUCAUAGAUGCCAAUGCAUCCAGCAGCAACCUCCCGGUCACCACUUUUUUCAACUUAUUUAACCCCCACCCGAAAAAACAAAAAACAAAAAAAAACAACGGUUCGUCUAUUUCUCCUACCUCCCACCCCACCCCUGCAACCACCAAUCUAUUCUCCCCAUCUAUCAGCCGGAUAUUUAUUUAU